rnacentral:rRNA from 1 species
GACGAACCGUGCGAACGUUGUUCGGAUUCACUGGGCUUAAAGGGCGCGUAGGCGGAUGGUCAAGUCGGGGGUGAAAUCCUGGAGCUCAACUCCAGAACUGCCUUCGAUACUGGCGAUCUUGAGUCCGGAAGAGGUGAGUGGAACUCCUAGUGUAGAGGUGGAAUUCGUAGAUAUUAGGAAGAACACCAGUGGCGAAGGCGGCUCACUGGUCCGGUACUGACGCUGAGGUGCGAAAGCGUGGGGAGCAAACAGG